UAAGCAUAUCAAUAAGCGGAGGAAAAGAAACCAACCGGGAUUGCCUUAGUAACGGCGAGUGAAGCGGCAAAAGCUCAAAUUUGAAAUCUGGUACCUUCGGUGCCCGAGUUGUAAUUUGGAGAGGGCUACUUUGGGGCCGGUCCUUGUCUAUGUUCCUUGGAACAGGACGUCAUAGAGGGUGAGAAUCCCGUGUGGCGAGGAGUGCUGUUCUUUGUAAAUUGCCUUCGAAGAGUCGAGUUGUUUGGGAAUGCAGCUCUAAGUGGGUGGUAAAUUCCAUCUAAAGCUAAAUAUUGGCGAGAGACCGAUAGCGAACAAGUACAGUGAUGGAAAGAUGAAAAGAACUUUGAAAAGAGAGUGAAAAAGUACGUGAAAUUGUUGAAAGGGAAGGGCAUUUGAUCAGACAUGGUGUUUUGUGCCCUCUGCUCCUUGUGGGUAGGGGAAUCUCGCAUUUCACUGGGCCAGCAUCAGUUUUGGUGGCAGGAUAAAUCCAUAGGAAUGUAGCUUGCCUCGGUAAGUAUUAUAGCCUGUGGGAAUACUGCCAGCUGGGACUGAGGACUGCGACGUAAGUCAAGGAUGCUGGCAUAAUGGUUAUAUGCCGCCCGUCUUGAAACACGGACCAAGGAGUCUAACGUCUAUGCGAGUGUUUGGGUGUAAAACCCAUACGCGUAAUGAAAGUGAACGUAGGUUGGGGCCUCGCAAGAGGUGCACAAUCGACCGAUCCUGAUGUCUUCGGAUGGAUUUGAGUAAGAGCAUAGCUGUUGGGACCCGAAAGAUGGUGAACUAUGCCUGAAUAGGGUGAAGCCAGAGGAAACUCUGGUGGAGGCUCGUAGCGGUUCUGACGUGCAAAUCGAUCGUCGAAUUUGGGUAUAGGGGCGAAAGACUAAUCGAACCAUCUAGUAGCUGGUUCCUGCCGA
rnacentral:rRNA from 1 species